rnacentral:lncRNA from 1 species
AGAUAUGAUAAUAAAGAUUGUGCUAUCAAUAUCAAAAAUAGUCUAGCCUAGCUCAAUUUAAUUGAUAAGAGUAGCAAUAUUAUAUUUUGUAAAGUUUGCUUGAAAAUAUAUUGGAUAUUUGGAUAUGGAAGGUAAAAUAGAAUUUGCAACAACAAGGUCCUAAUAACUCUAAUAGAAUACUAAAUUAAUUCUAAUUAAAUCUUACAAUGCUAAUCAAUCUUGAAUCAAAUCUAAAAGAAGUCUUAAAAAAAUUACAAAAAAAAAAAUCAUAAAUUAACCUUAAGAAAAUAUGUAUAAUAAAAAAGUUCUAAAAAAAUAUUAAAAAUAAAACCCUAAACCAACCUUAACUUAUUUCUAAUAUAACUAUAAAAAAAUUCUGAUGAAAUCCUAAUAUAUU